GCCACUUACGGUGGCACGCAACUGUAGCCCCAGCUACAUGGGAAGCUGAAGCAGGAGGAUUACUUGGGCUCAGAAGUUCUGGGCUGUAGUGUGCUGUGCCAAUCAAGUGUCUGUCCUAGGUUUGGCAUCAAUUUGGUGACCUUCUGGAGGCAAGGGACCACCAGCUUUUUAAAGUAAGGGUAAACCAAAACAGGUUAAAAAUAAAGCAGAUCAAUGCUCCCAUGCUGUGUCACUGCAUCCCAGCCUGGGCAACAUACCAAGACCCUAUGUCU
ensembl:misc_RNA Metazoa_SRP Metazoan signal recognition particle RNA